rnacentral:tRNA from 1 species
UGCGGGGUCGUCUAACGGUCGGACUGUGCCCUUUGAAGGCACCUAUUUUGGUUCGAAUCCAAACCCCGCAG